rnacentral:sRNA from 1 species
UCUCCUCGCACGGUAGCCGUCACGCCAU